AUUGAACGCUGGCGGCAUGCCUUACACAUGCAAGUCGAACGGCAGCACGGGAGCAAUCCUGGUGGCGAGUGGCGAACGGGUGAGUAAAGUAUCGGAACGUGCCCAGUCGUGGGGGAUAACGUAGCGAAAGUUACGCUAAUACCGCAUACGAUCUAUGGAUGAAAGCGGGGGAUCGCAAGACCUCGCGCGAUUGGAGCGGCCGAUAUCAGAUUAGGUAGUUGGUGGGGUAAAGGCUCACAAAGCCGACGAUCUGUAGCUGGUCUGAGAGGACGACCGGCCACACUGGGACUGAGACACGGCCCAGACUCCUACGGGAGGCAGCAGUGGGGAAUUUUGGACAAUGGGCGAAAGCCUGAUCCAGCCAUGCCGCGUGCAGGAUGAAGGCCUUCGGGUUGUAAACUGCUUUUGUACGGAACGAAAAGGUUUGGGCUAAUAAGCUGAGCUCAUGACGGUACCGUAAGAAUAAGCACCGGCUAACUACGUGCCAGCCGCCGCGGUAA
rnacentral:rRNA from 1 species